AGCUUUAUAGUCAAAAGAUGAUGUUAGAGUGCAAAUCUAGAGUUGUAAAUUUACUAAAGCUU
rnacentral:tRNA from 1 species